rnacentral:rRNA from 1 species
GACGAACCGAGCGAACGUUGUUCGGAAUCACUGGGCUUAAAGGGCGCGUAGGCGGGUGCUCAAGUCCGGGGUGAAAUCCCAGCAGCUCAACUGUGGAACUGCCUCGGAUACUGGGUGUCUCGAGGGUGGCAGGGGUAUGCGGAACUAUCGGUGGAGCGGUGAAAUGCGUUGAUAUCGAUAGGAACUCCGGUGGCGAAGGCGGCAUACUGGUCCACUUCUGACGCUGAGGCGACGGAAAGCCAGGGAGGCAAACGGG